rnacentral:rRNA from 1 species
UACGGGGGGGGCAAGCGUUGUUCGGAAUUACUGGGCGUAAAGGGCUCGUAGGCGGCCAACUAAGUCAGACGUGAAAUCCCCAGGCUCAACCUGGGAACUGCGUCUGAUACUGGAUGGCUUGAAUUCGGGAGAGGGAUGCAGAAUUCCAGGUGUAGCGGUGAAAUGCGUAGAUAUCUGGAGGAACACCGGUGGCGAAGGCGGUUCUCUGGGCCUGUACUGACGCUGAGGAACGAAAGCGUGGGGAGCGAACAGG